rnacentral:rRNA from 1 species
AGCGAACGCUGGCGGCGUGCCUAGCACAUGCAAGUCGAACGUGAAAAGGGAAACCUGAGUAAAGUGGCGUACGGGUGAGUAACGCGUAGGUAAUCUACCCCAGAAUCUGGAAUAACCUGCCGAAAGGCGGGCCAAUACUGGAUAGAGCGAGGGAACUCGUAAGAGAGUUUUUCGGGAAAGGGAGCCCGCAAGGGCCUUCGUUCUGGGAUGAGCCUGCGUCUCAUUAGCUAGUUGGUAAGGUAACGGCUUACCAAGGCGAUGAUGAGUAGCUGGUCUGAGAGGAUGAUCAGCCACACUGGGACUGAAACACGGUCCAGACUCCUACGGGAGGCAGCAGUGGGGAAUCUUGCGCAAUGGACGGAAGUCUGACGCAGCCACGCCGCGUGAGUGAAGAAGGCCUUCGGGUUGUAAAGCUCUGUCGGAUGGGACGAACAUCUUCAUAGUGAAUAGCUAUGAGGACUGACGGUACCAUCAAAGGAAGCACCGGCUAACUCCGUG